CCGGCGACCGGCGCACGGGUGAGUAACACGUAUGCAACCUGCCCUCUUCAGGGGGACAACCUUCCGAAAGGGAGGCUAAUCCCGCGUAUAUCGGUUUCGGGCAUCCGAGAUCGAGGAAAAGAUUCAUCGGAAGAGGAUGGGCAUGCGGCGCAUUAGCUAGACGGCGGGGUAACGGCCCACCGUGGCGACGAUGCGUAGGGGUUCUGAGAGGAAGGUCCCCCACACUGGUACUGAGACACGGACCAGACUCCUACGGGAGGCAGCAG
rnacentral:rRNA from 1 species